UUUUCCCUGCGCUGUUGGUGAUCAGCGGAGUAUUGAGCCAAACACUCAUUGAUAGGGUGGCUCAAUAGUCUACUAAUGGAAAACUUCAUUGAUUCCCUGCGGUAGGCAUACAGCUGCCCACCUAAUUUUUAUUAGGUUUAAUCAUUUCGUUGACACGGCAGGGUGGGGAUUUU
rnacentral:other from 1 species